UAUUAGGUUGGUGCAAAAGUAAUUGCGGUUUUUGCCUUUAAAAGUAAUGGCAAAAACCAGAAUUACUUUUGCACCAAUCUAGUA
ensembl:miRNA